rnacentral:lncRNA from 1 species
UUGAAGGUAAUGAAUUCUGGUGGAACAAACUGCGAGCCUAUCAAGGACAUGAUCUCAGAAGGUCUGAGAGCUGCAUGCUAUAGAACUUAUAAAAGAGUCUGUGAACUCAGUAUAUGGGAACCUUCUUUGGCAGAUGCUCUAGAAAAAGCCUUGGAAGAAGCUUCAGAUCUUCCAGAAGCAAACUCAGAAGAAGAGCUACCAGCAAUCUGCUGGGACAAUGAUGAGUUGACCAACCUUGAUGACCUUUGAGAUGGCCCAUAUUACAAGACUCGUGGCUAUCUAAUUCUCAACUGUACUGGACCAGCAAGAUAGUUUCGUAAUUUGGCCUGAAACAUGAAUGUGGAUUAAACUUGAAGUUUCUAAAUCAGAUGAUUGCAUGAACUUCAAGGUAUAAUAAGUCUAAGCAGACCCCUAGGACAGCUUUUUCUCGGACUGGCAUGACAUUUGCGGUUUUGACUAGGGUUACAAACGAAUCGAUCUGCUCGCGAGUGGCUCGAGUUCGAACUCGACUCGAGCUCGAUGUUUAACUCAAGUUCAGUCAACAUCAAGCUCGAGUCGAGCUCAAGCUGAUCAAGUCAAACUCGAGCUCCAAUUCGAGUUUAAAAAUAAUAAAUUUGGUUUUUAAAAAUAAAAUAAUUAUUUUUUUAAGUUCGGUCUCGAGUUUGACGCGAAUUUGAGUCGAGUUUGAAUCUUAUAUUUUGAACUUGUCGAGCUCAAACUCGAAUCUGAGCUUCAUAAACUAAGGUUGAGUUUCGGCUCGAUUAAAUCAAAGUUUAACUCGUCUCGAUUCGUUUGCACCCUUAAUUUUGACAAGGUUGACAGGAUACUUGGAGCCUUCAUAUGUAACUUAGCAGUGAAUCCACAUCUAUAGGCCCCCUAGGCUAGGUUGGUGGGGGGUGCAAUGCUUGCAAAAUGAGCUCAAAGAAAGGACCAUGAAUAGAAUCAUUUGAUUUGAUGAGCUGAACAACUGUAGAUGGAAGAGGGUUCUCUCUUUUACAUUUUUUCUUCUCUUUAUGUGGUAAAUGUAUCUGUCAUCCUAUGGGGGUGUUUUUGCACUUGGUUGCCGACAGAAGGCACCUCGCAUUUGCAUAUUAGUUUUGCAUUUUACAGUACGUGAAGCUAGGUGACUAAUCUAAUUGUUUAUGGAUUGAUCUUUCUUGAUUGGUGAAAUUGAAUACUCACACAACUUUUCUUUGUCUUUUUUAUAUUUUCCCAAGUCAAACCAGGCUGUAAGUUUAAGCUCAUUUUAUCCAAGAAAUCUGCAACAUAUUUCCUUCUCUCUAUACAGACACCAGCUGGCACUCUCAAGAUCCAAAACAGAUGAAAAGGACGUCACCACGAAAUGUUGGCUACAAAAAUAAUGUCAUUCCAAUUAUGGAAUAUGAAAGAGAGUUUUUUGGGGGGGGAGGGGGGAGGGGAGGAGAAAGAAAGAAAGGGAAAAAAAAAAAAAGAAAAUAGAGGAGCCACCGACAAUAGACGUCAUGGUGGGGAGGAAAACAAAAAAGGAAACAAGGGAAAUUUUUUUUUUUUUUGUGUAUUUUUAGGUAUUUUAAUAUAUAUGUAUUUCAAAAACUUUGGAGAAUUUAUUGAGAUUUUUGUAGUUAUAAGUUUUUCAAAAAUUUUUUGGAAGAGAUACUCAAAUUUGUUUGGAUUGUGAUUUUUUACAAAAAAAAUUUUACGUUUUUCACAAACAUAUUUUUCACAUAUUUUCUACUUUAUAUACAUUAAAUUACUACUAUAAGCUUUUUCUACAAAUAACAAUUCAAAAGUUGAUAUUGUUUUCAUUGUGCCUAUGUUGACAUUAUUCUUUUCAUUGUGGUGGUAGAAGUACAACAACAAUAUGGCCUGUCACAUUUACGUCGAUUGGGAAAAAAAAAAAAAAGAAAUCACUCAUUGUCGACACCUCACCGACUUUUCCCUUGAGGAACUCCCUGCUUUCUUACCCGAAUUGCUUGCGUCACCUUAACAGUCUUUGCCAAUGCUUUACACGUCAGCAACGCAGUAGACAUAAUCUUCUACACAACACAAAACCACCCUAACCUCCAAUCAACCAAUAAAAACCACCCACCUCAUAACCUCAGAAGACGCGUCAUUAUAAACCCACGUGUCCACAAUUAGUCACGAGACACUCUCACAAUUGACAGAAUCCCAUCACACCAUAGCAAAACUUCACCGAAAAAGAUCACCCACACGGGCCACACCCCGUAAUUCAGAUCAUCUUCCAGGGUUAAUAAUGUAAAUCUACCUCAGUUACAUUCUUAGUUGAUGCUCCCGCGUUAUACACAAGCAAACAGAGAGAUGCAUCGGAUUUGCGUCACUAAUCACUCUGAGUAGUUUUAAGUGCUCCGUACUCGCUUCCUCACUCUCUCUCUCUCUACCAAUACAUAUAUCUACAUUUCCCUUUCUCAUUCUGUAUAGAUUCAUUUUCCUGUUUUUUUGUGGUUGAUUUUUGCCGGAAAUAUUUUGAAUUCACUUAGGACGAUGAAUCGGAGUAGCGAUCCAAAUCCAUUUGAUGAAGAAGAGCAAGAAGUCAAUCCGUUUUCGGUAACCGCCACUGUAUUUUUCGGAAUUCCAAUGUUACCCUUCUUAGAUCUGCCUAUUUUUAGAGUUUUUCAAUUGUUAAGUAUUUCAAAUCUGGCCGUGAAUUGUGGGAUUGUUUUUACUAAUUUUGGCUUAGAUUUGGGAAUUGGAAAAAUUCAGGAUGGGGUUGUUGGUGCGGUAAUUUUGGAAUUGAAAUGAAAAAUUGAUGGGCAUUGUUGUCAUGGGAUUUUGUUUGUUGCAAGGUAGGUGAGGGGUUAUUGUGUUGUAUAUAGUCUGGAAUUGGCAGAAUUUUCGCGAAAUCUGAACCGGUGUUGAAAUUUGAUUUAUGUGGGAUUAGUUUAAUGCAAUGGGGAAUGAUAUGAAAGUGAUUUCCCCCCCCCCCCCCUAAAUAAUAGGAAGUUGAAUUUUGAAUGUUCAUUUUUGCAAUUUAUUAUUGAGGAAUGGUGAUGAUGGGUAAAAACUGUCCAUUCCACGGGGAGGGAGCCAAAAAAAAAAAUUAAAGCAAUCUAAAAUACAUAGGAGUUGAAAUAAAUGAUUUUUGGGAUUUUUUUUUGGCUUUGGGGGGGAGGGGGCUGUUAACUAAUAAUUUUAUAAGAUAUAAAAUAAGAAUUAAAUUAUGUUAGCAACAUAAGGUUUCAAUUAAAUUUGAAAGUAUUAUUGUUGCUCUUAAUUUUUUUAUUUGGUAUAUAAUUAAUGAAUAUGCUAAAGUGGGUUUUUGAUCAUUUUGUUGUUGGAUUUGAAUGAAUGGUCCUGUAAUAUGUGUGGAGAAGAUUUUUAUCCUAGUAUCUUUUGUGUGGUGGAAAUUUUUUGUAUUUUUUCCAAAUAUAUAUGUAUGUAUUACGGUAUAUUUCUAUACUGGUGUGAUUUAUGUGCCAUGGUGACAUUGAAGUACAUUAGGCAUCAUACUUGGGAAAAACCACCUCUCUUAUGCGUAAAAGUUACUUCUCUCGUGACCUGGUCUUGGCAUUAUGUGAUAGAUUCUUCUGACUGCUAACCAGUAUAUACAGCAAGAAGUGUUUUGAUCCUAGUAUCUUUUGUGCAGUAGAACAUUUUUUUUUUCCAAAAUGGAUAUAUUAAGAUAUGGUUCUAUCUUUCUUAUGGCAUUUUAUGAUAUAGUUGUUUCAUUUUAAAAACAUUUUGUAUUUCCAAAAUGGAUAUACUAAGAUUGGUUCAUUACAAAGUGCCUGUCCUUGUAUAUUGGGUGAUUAAAGCUCAACAAAGUAAUAUUCUAGCUCUUCCGAUUGGAAAUUCAGAAACCUUAUUCGAGUAAGAAGUGCUCAAUAGGGAUGUUGUAUGCUUCAGAAUUGGUCUAAUAAAGGUCUUUUGGCUACUGCCAUGCUUCGUGUGGUGUGGGAGUUGGAAGGCAAUUGAGUAUGCAAUUAAAUUUCUGUUUGUAUGCGUGUGAUUUUCACUCUUUUACCCAUGUACUCAACUGCAAUAUGUUGUCUUAUCAUGCCAUUUGGUUUUGUUAAUUGCAGAAGGGUAAUGCUGCUCCUGGAUCAAAGUCGCGUGUUCCUCAAUUUGUCAGCAAUACUCUGGGUUUUGGCCCAAAACAUGACGCGACUGUUGAUAUACCCUUGGACUCAAUGAAUGUAAUGAAGUGAAUAUAUUUUAUACAAUUUUAUCUUCUUUGUCGCUACCAAAAGUCAAGCAUUUGCAUCAUUUGGUUAAAUCCGGCAGGAUUCAAAGAAAAAACAGAAGGAGCUUGCUGAUUGGGAAGCAGAUAUUAAAAGGAGGGAAAGGGUGCGUUUCUAGUUUAUUUAAUCAUGGCUGUUCUUGGGAAAAUAUUUUAUCAGUGCUGUUUUUCUUUGCCUUUGUUGUACUUGAAAGCUAAACUCAGUCAAGCUUGAAAAAAAUUGAGUCAAUUUGAGAUGAUGUUAACUUGGUUAGUAGAAUCAUUUUAACUAUACUUGGUUACUGCUUGUAAACUUGGCAUUCAGCAUGUUACUUGUGCAUGGUACUCAUUAGCUUGUCCUUGUAGGAUAUCAAACGCAGAGAAGAUGCUGUUGCCAGUGGUAAGCUGUCUGACAAUGGAGUAUGAUUUAUCUGUGUUUCUGUUUUCCAUUUACUAAGAUUUUGAAUUUGUUCCAAUGUUCAAAUUCAGCUGGUGUCCCCGCUGAUGACAGAAAUUGGCCUCCCUUUUUUCCUAUUAUUCAUCAUGAUAUAGCCAAUGAAAUCCCUGUUCAUGCUCAGAGGUUGCAGUAUUUAGCUUUUGCUAGUUGGUUAGGUAUGUUCUUUUUAUUGUUUGAUAGUUGUUGCACAAUGAUUUUUUCUGAUCUUUGAUUGCAUGAUUUACACUUCUGGUUGGUUUUAAUCCUUGUCUAGCCAAAUAGGUGGAACACAAAAGUUCUUAAAGUGAAGGAGCAUAAAUAUUGCAGAUUUUCUUUUCUAUUAUUUGGAUAAGACAGAAAUCAAACAAGUACAAUCAUGUUGGUUUAAGAAAUGUUGUCAAGAGGGGAAGAAAAACAGGAUGAGGUGUAAACAAAAGUUAUAAAUAUUGGUUACAUCCCUCGACAUUUGUUCACAAGAUGCUUGGGGAAAAAUAACCACUUGCAAGCUCUAUGGCAGAUCAACAGGCAUAGCUUGAUAUCUCUAUUUGUUUUUUUAGUUUAUGCUUUUGGUCUUCACUUUCCACAGGAAGGGGAAAAAUUGGCUCCUUUGUUUUUCAUAAAGUUUAUGAAUCCCUUACUUUUUGAAUGUUUAGUUAUAGUUUCACUUCAGCUCCAACAUGUUCUGAUUGCAAUUGGUCUAUUAUGACAAUAGCAUUUCUUUAGCAAUUAUACAAAUAUUUCAGUCUCACAUAUGAAUGCUGUAAUUAAGGUCAAUACUUUACCCUAAACCAAAUUUUAUUACAUCUGCUUUUGCAGAUGACUUGAUUAGUACUUUGAGAAAAAUAGUCUCGGGAGGUGAAGUGUUUGGCUCAAGACCAAGCUUGAGCAUAGAUAUCUGCAGUGAACGUCAAGUGCAGCUUAUACUGGAGGUGAAUAAGCUUGAACAGAUUGAGUUUAUGUGUUAUUAGGUGCCUAGUUAUUCAAUCUCUGUUGCAAUUAGAUGAGUUUAUAAUAUUUGUGCUCAUGCUUAUUCAAUAUAGCUUGUGGUCUGCAGACGUUACAGGAGUUUACUGAUCUUGUGCCAUUAUUGGUUCCAGCAAAGGUAGGUGGUAGCCAGGCUAUUCGGGUUGUUUUGACCAGUUCAAAGAGGACAGAAACGUUUUUGAGGUAUCCAGGAAGAGUCAAUUGUCACUUCAAGAAAAUUUAAGCGUUGCUUGAAGCUUAGUAUUAUAAUAGUCAAGAAUCCUAGAUCUUCAAGGAGAUUUUAGUCCCAAAUGGUGUGGUGAUGUUCCACCAGCUUUACUGAGUUUUGAUUUUCAAUUUGCAGAAGGAACUACAACUCAUGGAAGAGGAACAUAAUAUGCAGGUUCGUGGGUUCAGGGAGGUUGUCGAUUUGAUUUCCACUUCUCAGAAGCCAGUUGUAGCCCAUAAUGCUAUCAAUGGUUUGUGUCUCUAUGUGGUAAUGUUUCUUUCAUUUCAGCUUCCACUGUUAUUUGACACCUUCUUUUGCUGAUUUCAUGCAGAAUUUGCAUUUAUCCAUUCAAAGUUCAUAGCUCCAUUGCCUUCAACAGUAGAUGAAUUUAGGAGUUCCUUGUGUUCAGUGUUUUCUCAUAUAGUUGAUGUCAACCAUCUUAUGAGGGAAAUUGGUCCUCUGAAUAAAGUAAACAACCUACCUGCAGCAAUUUUAUAUUUGAAAAGAAGGUUCACUAGGCCGCUACACAUGGAGAUUCCUCAACAUAGUGAGUAUUCUUUUGGAUUUUGUCACUUAUCAAAUUUAGUCUGACCGGUAGUGGUUCGCAAUGCAUAUUACUUCUCUGAUGCUUGGCCUCUAGAAUCGGUCAAGGUAUCUGAAAUUGCUAAAGGAAUCUUCAUAAUGGAUUUUUGUGCUUGCACUUGACCUGGCGCUAUUAUUUUCUGCAUGGCUUGCUGUCAUCGCAUGGUUUCUACAAAUCCUGACUUGUCACAUUUUGUUCUUUUAGUUGAUGGAGAUGAAGUCAGGGUUCAUGGGCGUGAUGUUCUAAGGAUAAGUGAGUUAUUUGCCAAGCUCUGUUUAAUAUUGAGAAUUGUUCCAGAAUCUCCGGAAGCUGAUUAUUCCACUUCCUCCUCCACCCUUGAAUGCUAUGCAAAUGUCUUCAAUCCUUGCUUCAUCAGUUCAUCAGAUCUUUUAGAUGAUGAUGUAAACAUUUCAACUGAAAAAACUAGAAGAAUUAGUGUUGCAAAUUUGGUGUUCUUGUGGGGAUUUAGAGGUAUGAUGUCUGCUCGCAAGCUGAAGAGCCUGCUUAAAGGUUCUCAUGAAGUGUUCUCUGGAGAAAUUGAUGUUCGACUAGCCGAUAGGAAUUGUGCAAUUGUUGUUUUCUGGGCUCCUGGCUUUGCUGAGAGAUUUUUGAAGGUAAUGAAUUCUGGUGGAACAAACUGCGAGCCUAUCAAGGACAUGAUCUCAGAAGGUCUGAGAGCUGCAUGCUAUAGAACUUAUAAAAGAGUCUGUGAACUCAGUAUAUGGGAACCUUCUUUGGCAGAUGCUCUAGAAAAAGCCUUGGAAGAAGCUUCAGAUCUUCCAGAAGCAAACUCAGAAGAAGAGCUACCAGCAAUCUGCUGGGACAAUGAUGAGUUGACCAACCUUGAUGACCUUUGAGAUGGCCCAUAUUACAAGACUCGUGGCUAUCUAAUUCUCAACUGUACUGGACCAGCAAGAUAGUUUCGUAAUUUGGCCUGAAACAUGAAUGUGGAUUAAACUUGAAGUUUCUAAAUCAGAUGAUUGCAUGAACUUCAAGGUAUAAUAA